rnacentral:rRNA from 1 species
UACGUAGGGACCGAGCGUUGUCCGGAAUCAUUGGGCGUAAAGAGCGUGUAGGCGGCUUGCUAAGUCUUGCGUGAAAUCUCGGGGCUCAACCCCGAGCGGUCGUGGGAAACUGGCAGGCUAGAGUGCGGGAGAGGAGAAUGGAAUUCCUGGUGUAGCGGUGAAAUGCGCAGAUAUCAGGAAGAACACCAAUGGCGAAAGCAGCUCUCUGAGACGGUACUGACGCUGAGACGCGAAAGCGUGGGGAGCGAACAGG